rnacentral:misc_RNA from 1 species
AACUUUUGGCAAUGGAUCACUUGGCUCUCGCAUCGAUGAAGAACGUAGCGAAAUGCGAUACGUAAUGUGAAUUGCAGAAUUCAGUGAAUCAUCGAAUCUUUGAACGCACAUUGCGCUCUCUGGUAUUCCGGAGAGCAUGCUUGUUUGAGUAUCAGUAAAACACCCUCAAUUCUCUCGUUUUUCGAGGAAAUUGGACUUGAGCGAUCCCAACGGCGGUUUAAAAACCCGCUGGCGGGUCGCUUGAAAUGCAGGUGCGGCUGGACACAUCUUCUGAGCUAUAAGCAUUACUUAUUUAGUCCCGUCAAACGGAUUAUUUCUAUUGCUGCAGCUAACAUAAAGGUUGAUUGUCCUGUGCCCGACUGAUGCAGGAAAACAAAGAGAAAUCUUUGUUCAACUCGAUCUCAAAUCAAGUAAGACUACCCGCUGAACUUAAGCAUAUCAAUAAGCGGAGGCU